GAGGGUAUAGCUCAGUGGUAGAGUGCACGCUUAGCAUGCAGGAGGUCCUGGGUUCAGUUCCCAGUACCUUAG
rnacentral:tRNA from 1 species